AUGGAAGAAUACAACAAUGAGGGAACAUUUCAUGCCGAGAUUGAAGUACUGACGAAAAUUAGACACCGAUGCAUCGUCAAGCUGUAUGGAUUAUGUUCCCACUCCCAGUGCAAAUUUCUCGUGUAUGAUCUUAUUGAGAGGGGAAGCUUAUCGUCUAUUCUGCAUGAGCAAGAGCUAGCGAUGGAACUAAAUUGGCCCAGGAGAGUUGUUGUCGUGAGGGAUGUAGCUCAAGCUCUCUCCUACUUGCACCAUGAUUGCGACGAUGCAAUCGUGCAUCGUGACAUAAAAAGUAGUAAUAUUCUUCUGGACCUCGAUAAUAAAGCUUAUGUCUCGGACUUUGGCAUGGCCAGGAAGCUAAAGCACGGUUACUCAAGCUGGAGAACUAUCUUUGCAGGGACAUGUGGGUACAUAGCCCCAGAGCAGCCAGCAAAGCUCAAAGACAUCCUGGACCAACGCGUCGCAGCACCAUCAACUACUGACGAGAAGAAGGAUGUCAUUUUGGUUGCCUUGGUGGCCUUUGCUUGCCUGCAAGUCUCUCCGAAAGCUCGGCCAACCAUGCAGCAGGUAUAUCAGGCACUCACGAACAGAAACCGCCCAGCGCUGAUGCUCAGGCCCCUUCAUGAAAUCAGGCUGCAAGAUUUGCACGAUUACUGUGGCACCAUGAAGAAUAUACGAAGCUAUGUACUAGUCUGCUGUGUUAGCAACUGUAUAUGUUUGGCAUGUGUCUGUUUGAGAUAG
rnacentral:rRNA from 1 species